AUGAGACGACCUCUCUUUCUUCGCAUCGUCAAUGCGCUAGGUGAGUGGUCUCCAUACUUCACCACAAGGACAGAUGCGCUUAACCGUGAAGGGCUCUCUCCACUGCAAAAGUGCCCGGCGGCAAUACGCCAAUUGGCUUAUGGCACACCUGCAGAUAGUCUUGAUGAAUACCUCAAGAUUGGCGAGACUACCGCAGUUGAUUGCUUGAAGAACUUUGUUCAAGGAGUGAUUGAUACCUAUGCUGUAGAGUAUUUGCGAAGCCCCAACACUAAAGAUACAGAGCGCUUACUCUGCAUUGGCGAAGGUCGUGGGUUUCGUGGCAUGUUAGGAAGCCUGGAUUGUAUGCAUUGGCGUUGGGAAAAAUGUCCUAUUGCAUGA
rnacentral:rRNA from 1 species